UAUAUCCGGCUGUAGUUUCUUUACUGGCAACAUUUUUUCUGACUUCAACAGUUUUCAUCCGUUUUCCUUGACACUCAAUUUUAUCUAACUUCGAAUGAUCCGAUAAAAUCUCCCACACUAGUUUUUAUACUAUUGCUGAGAAAUUGGCCUUUUAUCCUUGAGUCGGGUGUCACUACAUUGCCAUUCCAUACAAUACUAUUACCCGACAUCUGUGUUUAUAUUGCUUGUGAUUUAACUGUAUUGGGGAUGAGUCCACAGGCUGGGUUACAUGAUAUGUUAUCAUGUGUCACCUUUUGGUGUGUCUCUCUUUCUCUCUCUCUUUCCCCCCUCCAAAUUCCUUUUUCAGUUUUUCCCCUUAUCAAAAAAAAACCAAAAUCUGGAGGUGAGGAAAGACACAUCACAUCCAACUUGCGUUCCUGUCCCUCACAUUUAAAAAUUAUAAAUUAUAGUAAAAAAUGAAUAUUUUUGCAUCAGAAAAUAGACAUUUCACCAAAAAAUAAGAUUUCAUACAUUCAGAAGAUAUAUAUAUAAAAAAAAUAAUAAUAAUAAAAAUUUCACAUAAUUAACA
rnacentral:lncRNA from 1 species